rnacentral:lncRNA from 1 species
AUGCCACCCCGUCCCGGGUUCUCCUUCGACCAAAACUGGCGAGGUGGCCGGCGGGUGGUGAAACGAAGGGGUCCUGGGCCAGCUCUCAGGGACAGUGGUUUGAUGGAGUCGGCUGACGGAGGGACAUCGGUGUGGUGCGGUGGAAGCUGCAUGCUACCAUCUGUCUAUGUGGUGGGUCCCAGGCAAAAGGCUAGUCCGGUGGUUCAUCGGACCGGCAGCGGCUACGCCUUCAGGCAUCGUAACCUCCUUGGGACAUUGUCGAGGGUUACCCUCUCCCUUUCUUGACGAGCAUCUU